CAGCACUCCUGCACGUUAAUAAUAAAUUGGUCUAGCAAGUCUGGCCUCAGAAGCCCCGCUGUGGGGUAAGUAAUUGUUAACCCUGUUUCACAGGAAUCCGAACCCUCCAACGUUUGACAGAUGCCACAUCAAGCAAGGGCGAAAAGAAGCAUGCUUUAUCGAGCAUGGAAAACCACCUUUUAAAUGCUGCUGUUGCCGAUAGUCUGAAACACCAGCCAUGUAUCUGGUUGGCAGGAGCUGGGACCAAGCAAUGGGAGCUCACCCCGUCACAGGGAUUUGAACCACCAACCUUCUGAUCGGCAAGCCCUAGGCUCUGUGGUUUAGACCACAGCACCACCUGCAUCCCUUAGGAUAGAGAUCUGCUGCCUCUAUUGUACUUCAGGCUUCCUCAACUUCGGCCCUCCAGAUGUUUUGAGACAACAACAACAACAACAACAAUCACAAUAAUUUAUUAUUUAUACUCCGCCCAUCUGGCUGGGCCUCCCCAGCCACUCUGGGCGGCUUCCAACAGAAAAAUAAAGCACAGUAAUCUAUUAA